rnacentral:lncRNA from 1 species
UAUAGUUGGAGAUUGGAAUGUAUCUAGAGGUGGAGAUUUCAGAAGCAACACCAUCCAAAAAAAACCGAGAUUCCGCGUUGGAUAAACUCUUGGUGGUGUUCUUGUACUAAAACCAUUUUCAAUUUGCUCGUCGGGUAGAAUAACCUUGGUGUUCCUUUACUACGUCAAUCAAAACUAUGCUCGCGGAAUUGCUAAAUAAAACCGAUGGUGAUGAUAUUAAAAUGUGCGUAGCGAGGAUGCUUUAGAUACACACUUAGAAAUCAUUAGAUUAUGUUGUUGCAUCAAUUUUGAACUAUGUUGUAUUGUAACUUAGUUUGGUUGUAUUUGAACCAAUGUUGUAUUGUAACUAUGUUGUAUGAUGUAAUGUGACAAGUCGUAUCAACGAAAUGAAAUCAGUUUAUUUAAAUUAGUGUCGCUUUUAGUGUUAUAUGCAAUGAGCAAUCUCGUUUUCGUCUCACUCCGAUGUUUUUGCCAUCGGUUGGGGUGUGACAGAUCACCGGGAUGAAAGUGGCGGCAAACAUUCCUAACGUUGGUUAUAGGUUUUUUGGGGCGAACCGUCAGGAUUGGGCAUGGCAGCCGUUGGUACAUCACCCGCGUUUGGAGGCCGAGGAGGUUCAGAUGCCACAGAUGACUGAGUAGGAGGGCGGGAAGGAUGAUGUUGAGGUUCCACCUCAGCAUGAACAGGCGGAUCAUCAGCAUCCACAAAGAGUUUAUCGCGCGGUUAGGUUGCCUUGGUCAACCAACCGUCUUCUCAAUAGGAUUUUGCAUAACCAGGAUGAGCAGAUACGACUUCUAACACUACAUGGUCAGGAGAUAACAUCCCACCAUCACCUGAUGGACCAGAUGCAUGAUGACAAGUGGUGGCUGAUGACUAGCAUGGGUGAAAUGUAUAAGUGUAUGGGUAUAUCAGUUCCACCCCAUCCACUACCACGAGUUUAUCUGGACCAGGGCCCCUUCUUUACACAACAGCCUGACCCCUGCCAUUUUUUAUCCAGCCCAUCCCGUCCAUGUAGGCUUAUGGCUCGUGCUAUAUUCAGCCCGACCUUUCCAUGCUACAUUUUCCUCAGUCCGGCCAGACCACGCCCCUCUUUCCUAUGUCCGACCUUUCCAUGUAGGCUCCAGGCACGUCCUAUACGUGGCAUAGCCCGUCACCCUGUAUUAGGCGUUGCCCGAACUUUACAGAGGAAGAGCUCACUGAGUCUGAUGAGGAUUGAUAACAAUAGCGGUUUAUGUUAUCAUUAUAUGAUGCAGUAUUGUACGAACAAUUGAAUUUAAUUUCAGGUCGUUCAAAACUGAAAAGUGACCCCAAUAGGAAGCGUAUAUGGCAAUACGAUUCCCAUAGGGCUUCGGUAGGUGAAUGAAUUAAACCAAUGGAAAGCAUA